UAACUUGUGGAACGGCACCAACAGCCUUCUAAGCUGUAGGUCGUAGGUUCGAAUCCUACUUGGGACG
rnacentral:tRNA from 1 species